rnacentral:rRNA from 1 species
GAUGAACGCUGGCGGCGUGCCUAAUACAUGCAAGUCGAGCGAACAGAUAAGGAGCUUGCUCCUUUGACGUUAGCGGCGGACGUGUGAGUAACACGUGGGUAACCUACCUAUAAGACUGGAAUAACUCCGGGAAACCGGGGCUAAUGCCGGAUAACAUUUAGAACCGCAUGGUUCUAAAGUGAAAGAUGGUUUUGCUAUCACUUAUAGAUGGACCCGCGCCGUAUUAGCUAGUUGGUAAGGUAACGGCUUACCAAGGCAGCGAUACGUAGCCGACCUGAGAGGGUGAUCGGCCACACUGGAACUGAGACACGGUCCAGACUCCUACGGGAGGCAGCAGUAGGGAAUCUUCCGCAAUGGGCGAAAGCCUGACGGAGCAACGCCGCGUGAGUGAUGAAGGUCUUCGGAGCGUAAAACUCUGUUAUUAGGGAAGAACAAAUGUGUAAGUAACUGUGCACGUCUUGACGGUACCUAAUCAGAAAGCCACGGCUAACUACGUG